AGUGGCGGACGGGUGAGUAACGCGUGGGUAACCUGCCUCACACUGGGGGACAACAGUUAGAAAUGACUGCUAAUACCGCAUAAGCGCACAGGAUCGCAUGGUCCGGUGUGAAAAACUCCGGUGGUGUGAGAUGGACCCGCGUUUGAUUAGGUAGUUGGUGGGGUAACGGCCUACCAAGCCGACGAUCAGUAGCCGACCUGAGAGGGUGACCGGCCACAUUGGGACUGAGACACGGCCCAA
rnacentral:rRNA from 1 species